UACAGAGGUGGCGAGCGUUAUUCGGAAUUAUUGGGCGUAAAGGGCGCGUAGGCGGCUUGACAAGUCCCGGGUGAAAUCCCUCGGCUCAACCGAGGAACUGCCUUGGAAACUGUCGGGCUCGAGCACAGUAGAGGCAGGUGGAAUUCCCGGUGUAGCGGUGGAAUGCGUAGAGAUCGGGAAGAACAUCAGUGGCGAAGGCGGCCUGCUGGGCUGUUGCUGACGCUGAGGCGCGACAGCGUGGGGAGCAAACAGG
rnacentral:rRNA from 1 species